rnacentral:rRNA from 1 species
AGAGUUUGAUCAUGGCUCAGGACGAACGCUGGCGGCGUGCCUAACACAUGCAAGUCGAGCGAGGAGAUUCCCUUCGGGGAUGAACCUAGCGGCGGACGGGUGAGUAACACGUGGGCAACCUGCCUUGUAGAGGGGAAUAGCCUUCCGAGAGGAAGAUUAAUACCGCAUAACAUUGCUUUAUCGCAUGAUAAAGUAAUCAAAGGAGCAAUCCGCUACAAGAUGGGCCCGCGGCGCAUUAGCUAGUUGGUGAGGUAACGGCUCACCAAGGCGACGAUGCGUAGCCGACCUGAGAGGGUGAUCGGCCACAUUGGGACUGAGACACGGCCCAAACUCCUACGGGAGGCAGCAGUGGGGAAUAUUGCACAAUGGGGGAAACCCUGAUGCAGCAACGCCGCGUGAAUGAUGAAGGUCUUCGGAUCGUAAAGUUCUGUCUUCAGGGACGAUAAUGACGGUACCUGAGGAGGAAGCCACGGCUAACUACGUGCCAGCAGCCGCGGUAAUACGUAGGUGGCAAGCGUUGUCCGGAUUUACUGGGCGUAAAGGGAGCGUAGGCGGAUUUUUAAGUGAGAUGUGAAAUACUCGGGCUCAACCCGAGAACUGCAUUUCAAACUGGAAAUCUAGAGUGCAGGAGAGGAAAGUGGAAUUCCUAGUGUAGCGGUGAAAUGCGUAGAUAUUAGGAAGAACACCCAGUGGCGAAAGCGACUUUCUGGACUGUAACUGACACUGAAGCUUCGAAAGCGUGGGGAGCAAACAGGAUUAGAUACCCUGGUAGUCCACGCCAUAAACGAUGAGUGCUAAGUGUUAAGGGGUUUCCGCCCCCUUAGUGCUGCAGCUAACGCAUUAAGCACUCCGCCU